rnacentral:lncRNA from 1 species
AUUGCCUAGAAUAGAUAUAGAAUAGAUAUAGAAUAGAUUUUGCCAAAGGGUAAAAAUAUUGCAAAUCUGUCUUUAUCUGUAGUCCGAGGUAUCUCUGGAAGGUUAGAAAUGAUAAACAAUUCUUAGUCAAUUAAUGGGUUUAUGAGAUGGCGGUAUUGUUAUCGGAAUUUGUUUUAUAUGGCAAAUUUAUCGCUCCAUGCCAAGUAAUUGGAGUAUACAAUAUUUUCUAAUAGGAAGUUAAUUAUCGUUCUCUUGGAAAUGCUGGGACAAUGCAAGAUUGAUCUAAGAAAAAUUAGAACGUCAGAAUAUGUUUUUAUAAUAAUACAGAGAUGCGAUAUUAAAGUGGCCAACUAUCCACCAGAGACCAAGUAUAAAGAAUGUAAAGAACUAUAGUUAAGCUACAAAAGGCACCGACAUGAC